CAGGAUGUCAGCUUCUGAAGUGGUAGAGGCCCCCUCUGGAAGGGCAGUAGGAAACGUGUCUGGAGACAAAGGGCGCCUCAAGACCAGUGUUUCCACCUCUGCUGGAAGAUGGGACAUCAGGAGACCUUUUGACAGGGCCCUCAUCUCGAUCCCACCACCAGUCACCAUGGAGGAAAGUCCCUGCCCCUCUGAGCCAUAGUGCAUCUGUAUGACAAAUGAAGUGUGGACUUCAGGCUUUCCAGAUCCACGGAGGAGCUCCAGAUUCCUGUCAUAGGUGGCUGAGGCAUCUGUCUCUCAUCUCUGCAAACUGGAAACAUUAUCAUGAGGACUGGACUGUAGCUCACUUGUGGAGUGACUGACUAGGACACACAUGGUCUUGGGUUCUAACCCAAGCAGAAAGAUGAUUAUGAUAUGUGAAGGAAGCUGGGGUUGUGUCAACUCAGUAUGUGCCCAUGGGGUAUACUGAUUCUUUCAAAAAGAAGAAACUAUAGUGCCAGAAGGAUCAUUUGUCCAGUUUCCUACUGCAAGUAGCUGGCCAUAAUGGAGUCUUUGGGAGAUGUACUGCCAUCCCCAUUUCCCAAGGCAAGAGAACAGACCUUAUCACUGACGCUGGGAAUUGGUGCUGCAAUGGACCUUAACAAAUUCACUGGAGUAACUUUAAUCUUCUGGUUAGUUUACAUGCCCCACCCUGACCAUGCCCCAGAAUGUAUUGCUCCUAGACUAAAGGUUUCUGCACAGAUGUGUAAUUCUUUGUCCAAAAGCCCGAAAGCAUCCUGCCCUCAUGCUUCUUCACAUCUUCGCAGUCUCAUGAGCAUCCCUGGGCACACGUAAAGUUAAAUAAAGUCUUGUGCUUUGCUCUGGUUA